AGUAUGAAAAUUUUGCGUCCCCGUUUAUCUUCCGUCGCAAUAGCAGUAGCCAAACAUCAACCUGUUACUUCGGCAAACGUUAACAGUGGCAAAGCUACCUAAAAUUUGCAACCGCAUCGACCUACCGUCGCGUUAGCCAUCCAAAUAUUUAGAUGAAAAACAGUUUAUAAGUAUUAUAUGUUAGGCAGAAAAAAUCUACUGAACAAAACCUAGCCCCUCUUCGAUGAGAAAAAGCUCUCUCCCUCAGCCAUCUAUUUUGCCCAUCUCGAUCCGUACCAUCCUUUGUAGAUUUCCUACCCCUUCAAUCCAAUUUCUCCUCUCCUCUCUCUUUCUCACCCAUCCAUUCCUAAAUCCCUAAAUCUCCAGGAGCCCAGAAAGAGCGAUGUACUUAAUUUGCUGGCUAAGAUUGAACUUCUUUACCAGAUUUCUAUCAAAUCCGGUCGAUUCACUAGCUAGAAGAUCUACGAACCUAGAUGUUCAUCUAGAAAGAAAUUUGAUGAAACACAAAGGAAAAGGUGAGAUCUACUCAAAUCUGAAUGUGAGUGUUUGUCCAUAUCUUGCGGUGAUUUUAUUUUUUUAUUUUUUUGGUUCAUUUGAGCUGUUCGUACUUCGUAGUGUUUUCUUAAGAUUCAGAGUACUUCUGUAUAAGCCAGCCAUUUUAGAGAGCAGUUUAGCUCGACACAAUCUUUUGUUAAAUUGGGGAGCUUGAUCCAUAGUUUUAGUCUUUGUAAUGUCUGUAGAUUUGGUGCUAUCCUAUGCAAUGAAUCCUAGGUAAUUUCAAGUAAGUUAUGGACAAAUCUAGUCUCAUUUAUAAAUAGUAUAUGCAUUCAUCAUCCAGUUCGUGUUUACCAAAUUGUGAUCCAAAAUUGUUUUGCUUCAAAUUGUGAUCCAAUAUUAUUUUGGUAUUCUAAAUUGUGAUUUACUUUGUGUUUUUAAUUUUCUGUUACAACAGUAUUAGAGCAUGAUUGCUUUUAUAACCUAAAAUUGGUUUAUAACUUUAUAUUGAUUCUCUGGUUUGUAAUGUUUCCAUGUAUGCAUACUCACAGGUUAUUGUGCUAGACUAGAGAUGUAACUUAGCUUAUAUGUUGAAACUAUAUUCUUUAUAUUAUUGGAUUCAUCUGCUUUGACUUGCAGUAUUUUCAUAUUUUGGUCAUUUAUGCUGCCUUUGGUCUGCUACAAGGCAAAAGUUAUACAAAUAUAAAAGUUUUCUUAUCAGGAGCCCUGUUGGCCAAAUUCUUAUGAACCUCGACUAUUUGCAUAUGAAUCAUAUUCUUCAUCUAGAGUGUCAAGUUUCAUUACAUAUUUGUUCUUGCGUACUUGGCCAAGGUGAUGACUGUUUGGACUUGCCAAGAUGUUGACUUUAGAUGAUCUUGCUUGCGAUGCACAAUGUAUUGAAUCUAUCUAUAUCAAAUGUAUCUUAAUUCAGGAGGAUUGGUAGCUGUAUGUGUCCCAAUCUGAUAUACCUUGUAGUUCCAAAUCAGAUAUGAUCUUUGGGAAGAGGAAAAAAAAAAAAAACCUACGAGCAAAGAGGAACCAAUGACUGAACCAUGUCGCAUAUAGAUUGUUGAAUUUAGUUCUAGCAUGAUAGAGAGGAGUACCAAGAUCAGUCUUCUGCUCAAACUGGGGUUGCAUUAGCUGAGUCACCAAAUGAGGCUCUUUCUCUUAAUUGCAUACCUAAUAUGGUGCUGCAUGAUUGACCAACGAUAAAUUCAAGGGUAUGAUGUCAUCUUCAGAAUCUAGUGAAGAUGGAGGAAAUGAAGUGUUCUGAUGAUUACCAGUUUUCCAGUACAUUAACUAUAUGUAAUUUAAUUUUGUAAAUUUAUGUAUUUGAACAUUGGUGAAGAUAAAUAAAAUUAAUGUUAAAAAGUAAUUUGAUGGAACA